rnacentral:tRNA from 3 species
GGUCCCAUCGUCUAGCGGUUAGGACACCGGGUUUUCAUCCCGGCAACAGGGGUUCGAUUCCCCUUGGGAUCACCA